GCAUAUUUGUAAUGUAAAGAAAAAAAAACACGACCACACAAUUAGCACGAGCUCGCCUCCUCCCUCUCUCGCCCACGAAGCCCUCGCCGCCGCCACCACCCACGCCGGCCGCUUCCGGCGAGCUCCACCGCCGCGCAGCACGCCAUCGAGUUCCCCAUGGUCCACGUAACCCUCCCCUAUCUCCAUAUUCUUCGCUCCCGGCCUCUGCCGCCCGCUCGCAACCCCCCCCCCCCCCCCCCCCCCCCCCCCCCCCGCGGCUAGGGUUUCGGGCAGGCCUUCGCCGGCGCGUCUCCGGCGGCCCCAGACUGCCGUGAUUGUAUGAGAGAUUAAUACGAUUGUCCCAUGUGUGCUAGCUUUAAACGGACGGGUAAUGCUUGGUGUAUUCUUGUGUGUCAAUCGGAACAAACAUGGAGGGAGGAUAGGCUCCAAUUCAUUCUGGCUCCAUUAACUGAGUCGACCGCUCUGAAAAGGUGAUGCUCUGUAGUAAGUUUAUUUAUGCUUGUGUGUGUUUUUAUUGAUGUGUUUGCACUGUCUGUUUAUUGCAUAUUCAGUUGUUCGAAAAAGGGGUGCCAUUUGUGCCAGGUUAAUCAACCAGCGAAAGUAACACUUGAUCACAGGGUAAUAAAGUUAGUAGGAGUAUGUAAAGUUAUGUAGCUUCGUACGCAGAUCUCAGUAUUUAGUUGUUGGUCAGUUACGUAGAUGCUCUCCAAUGACCUUUUGAAUUCAACAUGUCAUCAGUCAAUUAUACAAGGAGGACACGGAACAAAUCAGAAAGAAAGUAGCAAGUUGUUAAAUCUGAUUUGCUGCUUUCAAUUUUUGGAGCACUGUAGCUUGUGAAAUCAUCAUAUGUGUUCUAUCUUGUGCGCCUCUUGUGGUCUUACCAAUGGAGUUGGCUUUAGCUCUUGAAAAGAUGGUGAAUGAGAAGCUGCCCAACCUGCCCACUAUAAGUUUCUCCUUCAUGCCUGUUUACAAGAAAAUUACUUUAAAGGUAGCAACAAGGUGAAAAGAUCCUCAGCUGGGCAUCUUUAUUGAGAAUCAAUUUCUUUAGGAGCAGGGUUACUCAUGCAGUUUCAGAAGGAGAUUGUGGAUCAUGAGUUAACAUACCAGAUGGAAGAGCGAUGGGCCAACAUAUGGAAGUGCAGAUCGAAAAACCUGGGUUUGCAGGAUGCAACAAUUGGUGUUGCGAGCAAAGCCAAAACCAUCACUCACAAGAAAUAUGAGAUCCUCAAGCAAGACUUGCUUGAUGCACAGAUUGUAAUUGCUUGGCAUCAACUAUUCGCAACUACUAACUCACCAUCAAAAUCAAAACUUGACAAGGUUUUGAACUAACUGAAGGCUGCUUGGAUGCUGAGAAACUAAAAGAGUUUAAACUUGUGCAGAAGAGAUAAAUCAGUCUUAAUGUGGCCAAGUUCAAAUUUGCUCUCCCGACACCUACUUCUGUGUUGGGCCUUCCAAUUGGCCAACAUAUAAGCUGCAGGUUUCAACACUUACUCGUCAUGUCUUGAUCUACAUUUCAGUUGAGUGGUCAUUGUUUUUGGUUCAAGAAGCGAGUGAAAUAUUCUUAUAAUUCUAUCGAUGUAUGUAUUGUGUAAACUGGCUGCACCGUUGCAGAGUCAAGGAUGCUACUCGGCCUUUUAGAAAAAACUGACGUGUAGAGUCUCCUUGGUUUAGGCUCUGAUGAUAGGUUUGGAUUUGCUUCUUAUUCUGAUGUAUAGAUAUCGACUGGAAAAAUAAAGAUCACAUGGUAAUGUGCAAAUCAGAGGUUUGCGCCACUGAGGAGCGUGUCCACGUCACGAGUGUCGCCAUUCAUGGGAAGCACCAAGAUCUAACACUCUGAAUGUUGUUAGCUCGCUCCUUCACAAAUGAGUCUCUUAAGCUAUCGCUUAUCUCGCUUUGUUAGACAAACUCUUUAUGCGACAGGGAAGGCUUCUGGAAUGAUACAAUUGUUGUUCUAUUUCUGUCAACCCACUCUGCUUAAUCAUAUUGAUUAUUAUUAUUUUCCCGUUGCAAUGCACGGGCAUGUGGCAAGUAUAAACAUAGAUUUUUGUCCAA